rnacentral:rRNA from 1 species
GUUUGAUCCUGGCUCAGAACGAACGCUGGCGGCGUGCUUAAGACAUGCAAGUCGAGCGGGAGAGGAGCUUCGGCUCCAAUUCAGCGGCGCACGGGUGAGUAACACGUGGGUAAUCUACCUCCAGGUCUGGGAUAACCUCGGGAAACUGGGGCUAAUACCGGAUGAGACCACGAGGUCCUCGGACUUCGCGGGAAAAGAUGGCCUCUGCUUGCAAGCUAUCUCCAGGAGAUGAGCCCGCGCCCCAUUAGCUAGUUGGCGGGGUAACGGCCCACCAAGGCGACGAUGGGUAGCUGGUCUGAGAGGACGACCAGCCACACUGGAACUGAGACACGGUCCAGACUCCUACGGGAGGCAGCAGUCGGGAAUUUUGGGCAAUGGGCGAAAGCCUGACCCAGCAACGCCGCGUGAGGGAUGAAGGCCUUCGGGUCGUAAACCUCUGUCGGGAGGGACGAAAGGCGCGCGGGUGAACAAUCCGCGUACUUGACGGUACCUCCAAAGGAAGCGCCGGCUAACUCCGUGCCAGCAGCCGCGGUAA